rnacentral:rRNA from 1 species
UACGGGGGGGGCAAGCGUUGUUCGGAAUUACUGGGCGUAAAGGGCUCGUAGGUGGCCAACUAAGUCAGACGUGAAAUCCCUCGGCUUAACCGGGGAACUGCGUCCGAUACUGGAUGGCUUGGAUUUGGGAGAGGGAUGCGGAAUUCCAGGUGUAGCGGUGAAAUGCGUAGAUAUCUGGAGGAACACCGGUGGCGAAGGCGGCAUCCUGGACCAAUAUUGACGCUGAGGAGCGAAAGCUAGGGGAGCAAACGGG